rnacentral:rRNA from 1 species
UACGUAGGGUGCAAGCGUUAAUCGGAAUUACUGGGCGUAAAGCGUGCGCAGGCGGUGAUGUAAGACAGAUGUGAAAUCCCCGGGCUCAACCUGGGAACUGCAUUUGUGACUGCAACGCUGGAGUGCGGCAGAGGGGGAUGGAAUUCCGCGUGUAGCAGUGAAAUGCGUAGAUAUGCGGAGGAACACCGAUGGCGAAGGCAAUCCCCUGGGCCUGCACUGACGCUCAUGCACGAAAGCGUGGGGAGCAAACAGG